UACAAAUUUGUAGGAUCAAGCCUUUCUUCUUUCAAAUUAUGUGAAUUAAGAAAAUGGAUUUUGUAUUUUUUUGUAAAUGAAAAAUUCCUUUCAUUUAAUGAAUAAUCUAAAUUGUAAUAAUUAUUUUGUAAAAUGUGUUCCAGUUUGUGUGUUUUGCCUAUGGUGUAUUUAUUUAUAGAGGCAUAUUAAAAAAAAA